GCGGGGGUGGCACAGCGGCUACUGCAAUCGGUUGCAACCCGAUUUUUCGCGGGUUCGAGUCCCGCCCCUCGCU
rnacentral:tRNA from 1 species